ACCCCACACCAAAAGAUGAAAAAGUGCAAAGAGCUCAAUGAAUUGAUUGGUUUGGCUGGGGACAGCCGGAGAAAGAAGCCCAAGAAAGGCCCAAGCAGUCACCGUCUGCUUUGCCCUGAGCCUCCUGACUCAGACUCUGAGUCCAGCUCCAAAGAGGAAGAGGAAUUUGGUGUGGUUGGAAAUCGCUCUCACUUUGCCAAGGGAGACUAUUUACGAUGCUGCAAGAUCUGUUAUCCGCUCUGUGGUUUUGUUGUGUUGUGGCCUGUGUUGGCUCGGUGUGGAUGCAGGUUGCUCUCAAGGAGGAUCUGGAAGCCCUCAAGGAAAAAUUUCGAACAGUGGAGUCUAAUCAGGAAAGCUCAUUCCAAGAAAUCCCCAGACUUAAUGAAGAACUACUCAGCAAGCAAAAACAACUUGAGAAGAUUGAAUCUGGAGAGAUGGGUUUGAACAAAGUCUGGAUAAACAUCACAGAAAAGAAUAAGCAGAUUUCUCUGUUGACUUCUGCAGUGAACCACCUCAAAGCCAAUAUUAAGUCAGCUGCAGACUUGAUUAGCCUGCCUACCACUGUAGAGGGACUUCAGAAGAGUGUAGCUUCCAUUGGCAAUACUUUAAACAGUGUCCAUCUUGCUGUGGAAGCACUACAGAAAACUGUGGGUGAACACAAGAAAACGAUGGGAUUACUGCAGAGUGAUAUGAAUCAGCACUUCUUGAAGGAGACUCCUGGAAGCAACCAGAUCAUUCCAUCACCUUCAACCACAUCAGAACUUGACAAUAAAACCCAUAGUGAGAAUUUGAAACAGAUGGGUGAUAGAUCUCCCUCUCUGAAAAGAGCGUCUUUGGAUCAAGUCACCAACAAAACAGAUACGGUAAAAAUCCAAAGCAUAAAGAAAGAAGAUAGUUCAAAUUCUCAGGUAUCCAAGCUAAGAGAGAAACUCCAGAUGAUCAGUGCUUGUACAAACAAACCUGAGAGCAACAGGCCUCCAGUGACCGCCGAUGAAGAGCAAGUACAGAGUUUCACAUCAAAGCCAUCAGCAUUGCCAAAAUUUUCACAGUUUCUUGGAGAUCCAGUUGAGAAAGCUGCCCAACUAAGACCUGUCUCUCUACUAGGAGUUUCCAGCACUGAAGAUCUUCAGGAUUUAUUCCACAAGACUGGCUAGGACAUGGAUGGGAAGCUGACCUACCAGGAAAUCUGGACCUCCCUAGGUUCUGCUAUGCCAGAACCAGAGAGCUUGAGAGCAUUUGAUUUUGAUGGAGAUGGGAGAUAUUCAUUUCUGGAGCUAAGGGUAGCUUUAGGUAUCUAGCCUCAUCAGGCAUAUUUUAGAAAUGGACUGCCUAAUAUCUACUUACCUAACAACAAAACAACCCUUACUUACCCAUCAGUCCUCUAGUCCUCCAAACUACU